rnacentral:rRNA from 1 species
AACGAACGCUGGCGGCAGGCCUAACACAUGCAAGUCGAACGAAGCAGCAAUGCUUAGUGGCGCACGGGUGAGUAACACGUGGGAAUCUACCCAUUAGUAAGGGAUAACAGCGGGAAACUGCUGCUAAUACCUUAUACGCCUCCGGGGAAGAUUAUCGCUAAUGAUGAGCCGCGUAAGAUUAGGUAGUUGGUGGGGUAGUGGCCUACCAACGCCUACGAUCUUUAGUCUGGCUGAGAGGAUGAUCAGCCACACUGGAACUGAGACACGGUCCAGACUCCUACGGGAGGCGAGCAGUGGGGAAGUAUUUGGACAAUGGGCGGAAAGCCUGAUCCAGCCAUGCCGCGUGAAUGAUGAGGG